AAACUUUCAAAGGACAGCAGAAGUCCACUAAUUUUAGGAAUUAUAUACCCCU
rnacentral:tRNA from 1 species